rnacentral:lncRNA from 1 species
GACAGGCAAGAAAAGCUGUGAUAACUAGGAACAGGUCCGGCCCAGUGACUCACAGACAGACCUCACAGUGGCCUGUGGGCGUAGUGGGAGUGUGUGUGGAGGGGGAACGUGUGUGUGUUUGUAUCAUUCCAUUGGGCAGAAGCUGGCCUAGGAUCCCUCUGAUUGCUGGUUAUCUUCAGAUGGAAGCUUUAAUCACACAGGAGGACAUCAGUGUGUGGAAACUCCCUUAAAGUUAGGACUCUUACCAUUACUAAGGGGAGUGUUAGAGGGGGAUUAUUAGAGGGGGAGUGUUAGAGGGGGAUUAUUAGAGGGGGAUUAUUAGAGGGGGAUUAUUAGAGGGGGAGUGUUAGAGGGGGAGUGUUAGAGGGGGAUUAUUAGAGGGGGAGUGUUAGAGGGGGAGUGUUAGAGGGAGUGUUAGAGGGGGAGUGUUAGAGGGGGAUUAUUAGAGGGGGAUUAUUAGAGGGGGAUUGUUAGAGGGGGAGUGUUAGAGGGGGAUUAUUUUACCCUGUUCUAGAACACACAUGUGACAAUCAGAUAUGGUAAAGAAAACACAGUGAUGUGAUUUAGUAAUUAUUUCUGGGACUAUUAGUCUCUGGAGUCUCUGGUGUUUGUUCUAGCCAAGCUGGCUGGGAGUCUGACACCCCCCCUUAACCAAAAUGAGAACCGGGUCUGUGGGUGCGUCCCAAAUGGUAUCGUAUUCCCUACAUAGAGCCCUAUAGGCCCUGGUCUAAAGUAGUGCACUAUGUAGGGAGUAGGGGUGUCAUUUGGGACGCUGACUGUGUGUGAGGUAGAGCUGUUCUCUUCUGCUUUCUCCAUCUACCCUCCGUUAUAAACCUCCCUAAACAACGACUGACUGGAUGGAUGGACAGAGAGAGAGAGAGACAGAGAAAGAGAGAUACAGAGAGAGAGAGAUACAGAGAGAGAGAGAGAGAGAGAGAGAGAGAGAGAGACAGAGAGAGAGACAGAGACACAGAAAGAGAGAGAGAGAGAGACAGAGACACACAGAGAGAGAGAGAGAGAGACAUAGAGAGAGACAUAGAGAGAGAGACUACACUGUAUAUAUAGACAUAAUGACAUUUGAAAUGUCUUUAUUUAUUUGGAACUUGUGUGAGUGUAAUAUUUACUGUUAACUUUUUAUUGUUUAUUUCACUUUUAUUUAUCCAUUUCACUUGCUUUGGCAAUGUUAACAUAUGUUUCCCAUGCCAAUAAAGCCCCUUGAAUGGAAUUGAAUUGAGAGAGAGUGUAUUUUAUUUACAGCCACUAGUUUCAGUUCAGCUCCCCAUUUCAGUGUUUGUUAAUAAAGAUCAAGCAGUCACCUUCCUGUUAGUGAGGGAGUUGUCAUGGAAACAGUUGUAUAUUACCUGGGGAAAUUCUAAAAGCCAUGAAGUUGUCCUAUAAAGUAUGUCUGUCCUGUACUGUGUCUGAUUCAAAACUGCUGUCCUGUCCUAGUCCCCAUCUUUACCCUUUCUAGGGUUCCUAUGUAGGGUGGUUCAUGUCUGUUAUCUUCUAUGGGCUACGUGGGACGCUAGCGUCCCACCCACGGUUCACACUAUUCAACAGCCAGUGAAAAAUCAGAGCGCCAAAUUCGAAAACAACAAAAUGCCAUAAUUCAAAUUUCUCAAACAUACAACUAUUUUACACCAUUUUAUAGAUAAACAUCUCCUGAAUCCAACCACGUUGUCCGAUUUCAAAACGGCUUUACGGCGAAAGCAUAAAGUUAGAUUAUGUUAGGACAGUACAUAGACAAAAAAUUACACACAGCCAUUUUCAAUGCAAGGACAAGCGUCACCAAAAGCAGAAAACCAGCAAAAAUUAUGCACUAACCUUUGACAAUCUUCAUCAGAUGACACUCCUCGGACAUUAUGUUAGAACAAAAAAUGCAUGUAUUGUCUAUCAAGUUCAUAUUUAUAUCCAAAAACAGCAUUUUACAUUGGCGCGUGAUGUUCAGAAAAUAUCUUUCCUCCGAAACUGCCGGUGAAUCAGCACAACAAAUUACAAAAUGACUCAUUAUAAACGUUGAUAAAAUAUUAAACUGUUAUUCAAAGAAUUAUAGAUUAACAUCUCCUGAAUGCAAUCGCGUUGACAGAUUUCAAAAUAACUUUACUGGGAGAGCACACUUUGCAAUAAUCUGAGUACUGCGCUCAGAAAAAAACAGCAGGCAAUUAUAGACACCGGCCGUCUUGGAGUCAUCUAAACGCAUAAAUAGCAUAAGAAGUAUUCACUUACCUUUAAUAAUCUUCAUCAGAAGGCACUUCCAGGAUUCCCAGGUCCACAAUAAAUGUUGUUUUGUUCGAUAAAGUUCAUAAUUUAUGUCCAAAUAACUCCAUGUUGUUUGCGCGUUCAGUAGGCUACUCAAAAUGUAGGGCGCGCGAGAAAACCUUCACGACGAAAGUAAAAAAAAGUACUAUUUACGUUCGUUCAAACAUGUCAAACGUUGUAUAGCAUCAAUCUUUAGGGCCAUUUUAAGUUCAAACUUCAAUACGUUCCAACCGGACCCAUGCAUUGUCUUGAAAAAUGUUUUGGAACGCAGGUAUCUGCUAACGUGAUGAACUGAAGUGUUUUUCUGGUCACCUGCUUACCAGCGUUCUCCUUCGGUCUGUGUUUACCGCAAAAGGCUCAAACAACUUUCUAAGACUGUUGACAUCUAGUGGAAUCCUUAGGAAGUGCU